rnacentral:rRNA from 1 species
AUAUUUAGAGUUUGAUCCUGGCUCAGGACGAACGCUGGCGGUGCGCCUAAUGCAUGCAAGUCGAACGAGCGACCCGGGCUUGCCCGGUUAGCUAGUGGCGGACGGCUGAGUAACACGUAAGUAAUCUGCCCCGAAGAGGGGGAUAAUCCAGAGAAAUCUGGCCUAAUACCCCGUACCUUCCUCUCCAGCCUGCUGGAUUGGAAGAAAGGCCUAGGCCGCUUUGGGAGGAGCUUGCGGCUUAUCAGGUAGUUGGUGGGGUAAUGGCCUACCAAGCCGAAGACGAGUAACCGGUGUGAGAGCACGAUCGGUCAGAGGGGGACUGAGACACGGCCCCCACUCCUACGGGAGGCAGCAGCAGGGAAUCUUGCGCAAUGGGCGAAAGCCUGACGCAGCGACACCGCGUGG